rnacentral:rRNA from 1 species
UACAGAGGUCUCAAGCGUUUGUUCGGAUUCAUUGGGCGUAAAGGGUGCGUAGGUGGCCAGGUAAGUUUGGUGUGAAAGCUCGGAGCUUAACUCCGAAAAGUCAUUGAAUACUAUCUGGCUGGAGGGUCGGAGGGGAGACUGGAAUUCUCGGUGUAGCAGUGAAAUGCGUAGAUAUCGAGAGGAACACCAGUGGCGAAGGCGAGUCUCUGGACGACUCCUGACACUGAGGCACGAAAGCUAGGGGAGCAAACAGG